UCAGACGAUGCGUCAUGCAUAUCAAUAAGCGGAGGAAAAGAAACUAACAAGGAUUCCCCUAGUAACGGCGAGUGAAGCGGGAAGAGCUCAAAUUUGAAAUCUUAAAGGGUUUCCCUUUACGAAUUGUAGUUUAAAGAAGUGUUUUCUGUUGAGGUUUUGGUAAAAGUUCUUUGGAAUAGGACAUCAUAGAGGGUAAGAAUCCCGUAUUUGACCUUUACUUUCAACUUUGUGAUACACUUUCAAAGAGUCGGAUUGUUUGGGAAUGCAGUCCAAAAUGGGUGGUAAAUUUCAUCUAAAGCUAAAUAUUGGCGAGAGACCGAUAGCGAACAAGUACCGUGAGGGAAAGAUGAAAAGAACUUUGAAAAGAGAGUUAAACAGUACGUGAAAUUGUCAAAAGGGAAGCGUUUGACACCAGUGUUGUUUUUCUGAAAAUCAAUUAAAGAACUGUUUAUGCUAAGUUGUUUAGACUUUAUCAGCUAUCUGCUUAGUUUUGAGCUUUUCUUUAAUGCACUUUUCAGUUAACAAGUCAACAUCAAUUUCUUUUGCUGUAAAAAAGCUUGAGGAAGGUGGCUUGAGAUUCGUCUUAAGUGUUUAUAGCCUCUUGCCUAUGCAGUCGGAGAGAUUGAGGUCUGCAGCGUAGAUCCUUCGGGGCUAAAUGCAUUUGUGCUAAGUUAUAGCAUUUUAUAGACAACUUGUUGACUAUGAUUUGUCUUGUAGCUUACUCGCUUAUGUUAUUUUACCUACGCUUAGGAUGUUGACACACGCGCGUGCUCG
rnacentral:rRNA from 1 species